UACAGAGGUCUCAAGCGUUGUUCGGAUUCAUUGGGCGUAAAGGGUGCGUAGGCGGCGCGGUAAGUCGGGUGUGAAAUCUUGGAGCUUAACUCCGAAACUGCAUUCGAUACUGCCGUGCUUGAGGACUGGAGAGGAGACUGGAAUUCUCGGUGUAGCGGUGAAAUGCGUAGAUAUCGAGAGGAACACCUGCGGCGAAGGCGGGUUGCUGGGCUGAUACUGACGCUGAGGCGCGAAAGCCAGGGGAGCGAACGGG
rnacentral:rRNA from 1 species